AAUCAACGCUGGCGGCGUGCCUCAGACAUGCAAGUCGAACGCGAAAGGUUCCUUCGGGAACCGAGUAGAGUGGCGCACGGGUGAGUAACACGUAGGUAAUUUGCCUUUGGGUGGGGAAUAACAGCCGGAAACGGCUGCUAAUACCGCAUAAUGCAGCGGCUCGACAUCCGAGACAGUUGUUAAAGCGGGGGAUCGCAAGACCUCGCGCCUAAAGAGAAGCCUGCGGCAGAUUAGCUAGUUGGUAGGGUAAUGGCCUACCAAGGCGACGAUCUGUAACCGGCCUGAGAGGGCGGUCGGUCACACUGACACUGACAUACGGGUCAGACUCCUACGGGAGGCAGCAGUCGGGAAUUUUGGGCAAUGGGCGAAAGCCUGACCCAGCAACGCCGCGUGAAGGAU
rnacentral:rRNA from 1 species